rnacentral:rRNA from 1 species
CGUAACAAGGUCUCCGUUGGUGAACCAGCGGAGGGAUCAUUACCGAGUUUACAACUCCCAAACCCCUGUGAACAUACCUAUUGUUGCCUCGGCGGAUCAGCCCGGCCCCGGUAAAACGGGACGGCCCGCCAGAGGACCCUAAACUCUGUUUUUAGUGUAACUUCUGAGUAAAACAAACAAAUAAAUCAAAACUUUCAACAACGGAUCUCUUGGUUCUGGCAUCGAUGAAGAACGCAGCAAAAUGCGAUAAGUAAUGUGAAUUGCAGAAUUCAGUGAAUCAUCGAAUCUUUGAACGCACAUUGCGCCCGCCAGUAUUCUGGCGGGCAUGCCUGUUCGAGCGUCAUUUCAACCCUCAAGCACAGCUUGGUGUUGGGAUUUGCGGAGUAAUUCGCAGUCCCCAAAUCUAUUGGCGGUCACGUCGAGCUUCCAUAGCGUAGUAAUUACACCUCGUUACUGGUAAUCGUCGCGGCCACGCCGUUAAACCCCAACUUCUGAAUGUUGACCUCGGAUCAGGUAGGAAUACCCGCUGAACUUAAGCAUAUCAAUA